AGAGUUUGAUCAUGGCUCAGAUUGAACGCUGGCGGUAUGCUUAACACAUGCAAGUCGAACGGUAACAGGAAAAGCUUGCUUUUCGCUGACGAGUGGCGGACGGGUGCGUAAUGCGUAGGAAUCUGCCUAGUAGUGGGGGACAACUCGGAGAAAUUCGAGCUAAUACCGCAUAAGCCCUACGGGGGAAAACGGGGGAUCUUCUGACCUCGUGCUAUUAGAUGAGCCUACGUUAGAUUAGCUUGUUGGUGAGGUAAAAGCUCACCAAGGCGACGAUCUAUAGCUGGUCUGAGAGGAUGAUCAGCCACACUGGGACUGAGACACGGCCCAGACUCCUACGGGAGGCAGCAGUGGGGAAUAUUGGACAAUGGGCGAAAGCCUGAUCCAGCAAUACCGCGUGUGUGAAGAAGGCCUGAGGGUUGUAAAGCACUUUCAAUUGGGAGGAAUACCUAAUGGUUAAUAGCCAUUAGAUUGAC
rnacentral:rRNA from 1 species